rnacentral:rRNA from 1 species
UAGGGAAUCUUCGGCAAUGGACGAAAGUCUGACCGAGCAACGCCGCGUGAGUGAAGAAGGUUUUCGGAUCGUAAAACUCUGUUGUUAGAGAAGAACAAGGACGUUAGUAACUGAACGUCCCCUGACGGUAUCUAACCAGAAAGCCACGGCUAACUACGUGCCAGCAGCCGCGGUAAUACGUAGGUGGCAAGCGUUGUCCGGAUUUAUUGGGCGUAAAGCGAGCGCAGGCGGUUUCUUAAGUCGGAUGUGAAAGCCCCCGGCUCAACCGGGGAGGGUCAUUGGAAACUGGGAGACUUGAGUGCAGAAGAGGAGAGUGGAAUUCCAUGUGUAGGGGUGAAAUGCGUAGAUAUAUGGAGGAACACCAGUGGCGAAGGCGGAUCUCUGGUCUGUAACUGACGCUGAGGCUCGAAAGCGUGGGGAGCAAACAGG